UGCUCCCUACAGUGUGGAUGGUGAGUCGCGGUAUCCGGCAGGAGGGCUGGUGUGACGUACUUAAGGCUUUUCAGCUCACAGGGAAAUUAGUUUAAUAACCUGACGUAUUGGCGUUAAGAUCUCCUACAACACUUUGAAAGGUUUAUAUCUCAAAUCGCUCUAUGAUAUUGGAGAACCUAUCACUGGCUUUCAGCUUUUUCUCAACACUUUAAAAAUGCACUGUUAUAUUCAGUAAUUUUGGGACUGUGAGGUUAUGGACUGUAUUGUCAAAUACUUUUGUAGUUCAACUCCUUCACCAUAAGAUGGCACCAUAACACCAAAUAAUCUUGGAAAGGUGAUGUUUUAUUACUGUGCAGCUAAAUAUUUCUCUUUACAAGUAUUUUCCACCACAUUACUGUGCCACUUAACUUUCUCCUGGAUUACAAUUUCAUUUAUCUUUAAUGAUCAAAGAAAAAAGCAAAACCUCUCCCUUCCUCUAUCCACAAAACCAAUUGUCGCUUUCUUGAAGCAACAAAUUGGUUGUUUGAUACAAUCUGCACACAACUCGGAUGGGGCGGAAACGGAAUCUGCAAUUCCCACUUCCCAAACUACUCAAACAAGUCCUCUAACUUUGGACCAAUCUGACAGUGUUCUAGUGGUGUUCCAGUCAUUAAUGGACAAGGCUACUGCACAAAUCACUACUGUUUCUGAGAAAGAUAAAGAAUUGGCAAGACACACAGGUACACUCGAAUCAAGGAUGGACAAUACGAAAAUGGUUUUAGAGGCCCAGGAAAUGGACUUAAUUAAGUAAUUGAAUUAAACAACAGGUUCUGAACCUCCAAUUGAAAUUAGAAUACCUGGAAAACAGGUUUUGUCGAGAUAAGAAAACGAGGAAUUCCAGAAUCUUAUAAGCACUUGGAGUCAGAAUUGCAAGAAUGCUUUACCAUUUACCAUCUCAGUUUCUGCACAUCGAUCAGAUCCCCAGAUCUCACAAGAUCUGCUAUCACUGGGGUUUCCCUUGAAAUUGAUAUUUACACGUAAUGGCAAGUCAUUUUCCCACCCUACACCGAAUAAGACCAAG